UACGUAGGCAGCGAGCGUUGUUCGGAAUUACUGGGCGUAAAGAGUGUGUAGGCGGUGCUCCCAGUCUGUUGUGAAAUCUCCCGGCUUAACUGGGAGGGUGCAUUGAAAACUGGUGGGCUUGAGUAUGGGAGAGGUAAGCGGAAUUCCUGGUGUAGCGGUGAAAUGCGUAGAUAUCAGGAGGAACACCUGUGGUGUAGACAGCUUACUGGACCAUCACUGACGCUGAAACACGAAAGCGUGGGUAGCAAACAGG
rnacentral:rRNA from 1 species